rnacentral:tRNA from 1 species
UAGCUCAGUCGGUAAAGAAUCUGCCUGCAAUGCAGAAGACCUAGGUUCAAUUCCUGG